GAACGCGUGGCGGCAUGCCUUACACAUGACAAGUCGAACGGCAGCAGUGGGUGCUUGCACCUGAGUGGCGAGUGGCGGAACGGGUGAGUAAUGCAGUCGGAACGUACCGGAAGGUGGGGAUAACGUAGCGAAAGUUACGCUAAUACCGCAUAUUCUGUGAGCAGGAAAGCGGGGGAUCGCAAGACCUCGCGCUUCCGGAGCGGCCGAUGUCGGAUUAGCUAGUUGGCGGGGUAAAGGCCCACCAAGGCAACGAUCCGUAGCGGGUCUGAGAGGAUGAUCCGCCACACUGGGACUGAGACACGGCCCAGACUCCUACGGGAGGCAGCAGUGGGGAAUUUUGGACAAUGGGCGCAAGCCUGAUCCAGCCAUGCCGCGUGAGUGAAGAAGGCCUUCGGGUUGUAAAGCUCUUUCGGCUGGGAAGAAAUCGCAUCUCCUAAUACGGGGUGUGGAUGACGGUACCAGCAUAAGAAGCACCGGCUAACUACGUG
rnacentral:rRNA from 1 species